rnacentral:rRNA from 1 species
ACACGCUGGCGGCGUGCCUAACACAUGCAAGUCGAACGAGUUGUUUAUAGUAGCAAUAUUGUGAACAGCAAGUGGCGAACGGGUGAGUAACACGUAGAUAAUCUGCCUUUCAGACGGGGACAACUCAGGGAAACUUGUGCUAAUACCCGAUGAGACUACGGGAGGGGACUUUCGUAGCCAAAGGUGGGGGCAACCUCACGCUGAAAGAUGAGUCUGCGUCCUAUCAGCUAGUUGGUGGGGUAAAAGCCUACCAAGGCGAAGACGGGUAGCCGGCCUGAGAGGGUGAACGGCCACACUGGGACUGAGAGACGGGCCCUACUCCGUACGGGAGGCAGCAGGUGGGGAAUAUUGGACAAUGGACGAAAGUCUGAUCCAGCGACGCCGCGUGGAGGAAGAAGUCCUUCGGGAUGUAAACUCAUGAAGCUAACGAAUAAGACGGAAGGGGAACCUUCCGGGAGAAGGUAAUUAGUGAAAAGCCCCGGCUAACUACGUG